UGUAGGUGGAUGGUCCACGGCCGUCCACAAGCUCAAAUGACCAUAUAUGGAGAAAAAGGCGGGACCAAACCAAAUAGGCUUGCAAUGCGCAUGCCCAAGCAAAACCGAUUGUAAGCCAUCUUGAAUUGUUAGCGUGAAAAGAAAUAUACUACAUUUAUUGGAUAUUUUAAUAUGAUGAAUAUUCUAGGUAGAGAAUAUGGAUAGUAUUAUCAUUAUUAGUAUUACGUCAACAUUAACUCAACAAUUGUAUUGUUGACAUGAAGAAAAAGCUAUUUCGAGGUUGUUUUGACCAUUGAUUGCUAAUAACACCUGGCGCCGUGACCUGGAUGCAGAUUCUAAGCAGAUGGGCCAAAAUGGGGGUAGCUAGAGAGACUCGCCUGGAACUGACAAGCCUGGAGGGAGCUGGUUGACUGUUGGCGAGAUGGGACAACAGACGAAGAAUAAACGAACCUACUUGAUUUGAAAAACAUUUUUGUAAGUCAUUCAAGAAUCGAGCAAACUUUUUGUUUCCAAUAAGCAGUCCUGUAUAUUUCCGAAAUAAAAUAAAAUGUUUCACUCAG